GGGAAAGUAGCUCAGUGGUAGAGUACUUGCCUUGCAUGCAUGAGGCCCUAGGUUCGAUUCCUCAGUACCA
rnacentral:tRNA from 1 species